GGGACGCUUGUCGCUGGAUAUCUUAAUGGAUUUGCAGUCAGGAAAUGCCUUGCUCGGAAGGGCUGGCCUUCUGCUGCCGUGAUGGCCGUGCUAUGCCUUGUCGGUGUGGGGAGGACAGGGUCUCUGUUCACGCUGUAGCUCUGCAGGGCAGGACCUGUUGAUAGAUGGGGACUAUCAGGUGGCCGGCCCCGCUCUCCAGGGAGCCGUGCCCUGCCUCUUUGUCUAGCCACAUGGAAUGCAGCGGGCUUGAAUGGUGGGAAACGGCGGUGGGGACUCGAGGCUGCUGGGACCAGUCUCUGGCUUGCAAAGACCAUGGGGGUGCUUGUGGGCUUGGCUGAGGAUUGGGUCCGCCUUAGCCGUGAAGACCAGCUGUUGGGCAGGGCAGGGCGACCGUGCUCCUCUCUGCCGGCAGACUGCAAAGGAGGCUCCAAACAGCCGCCUGUGUCUGUGGCGUUGGUCCACAAAGUGCAUGGGGAAUCUUGCCCACAGGUGGGGCGUGCCUAAUGGUUAGCUUGCAUCCCAGCAGCACAACUUGCGCUCUUCCCCAUUCGGCACCCCCGCUGGCUUUGGCAGUGUUCAUGAUGUGGCAUGUGGAAGGUGGUGGCUGAGGACAGACGGAGCCACAUCAAAAGUGCUGCCACUGUGGCCUCUAAGCAAGCACACUCUUGCCUCGCAUGGACCCAAUCCUCCUCCUCCCCAGAACCGGGGCCGAGGAAACACAGGAGGGCUGUUCACACCAUCAAGAACUGGCCAGCAUCCUGCCCAGCUCUGGGUGCUGGGCACACUCCCAUUUUGCGAUUGUGGAUGAGCAAGCCACUAGGCAGAGGAAGAGGGUGAUGCUCUAAGAGAGGAGCUGGGGAGGGAGGCCUUUCCUUCUGCCCUGCUGGUUUGAAGAUUCACACCCAUCCUCUCCUGCUUUUCUCCCAAGCGUUCUUCAUUCCAGCAGCCUAUUUUUUGGCAUGCUGGAGGGCUUCCCCCCGCCAUUUCUGCUGUUUUUAAACCAUUGGGAGUCACUGUUGCCAGUCUGCUCCAAGUCGGGCAGAGGUUUACCGGUUCACCUGUGUCUGCUUCAGCCUGGUAGGGUUGUAAUGCCUUCCAGCUUCGGGGGUCCUGGGUAGGAUGGCCGCUGGCUACAAGGCUGGCCCGGGCACAUGGCAGUCUGUUCCUUGGGCUCACCGCACGGUGCGAUUCAGGGGAAUGUGCUCUCCACUCCUAAAGAAAUCUCUUCCGUCCUGGGCUGUGUUAGGAGAUCGUGCUUCGUACGGCACGUCGCCAGAAACCAGGAAGUCCAUUAUCUCAGGGGGCCGUUUUCAUCCAGAGGCAGACGACUCUUUUACUGCAAAGUGUAAAUCCAGCUUUAAUGGGCCAGUGGAGGAGAGCAUUGGCAGCAGGGAAGAGCCUAAUUACUGGUUGGGCAGCUGAAGCCAGGGGAGAAAGAAGACCUCGAGGCAGCAGCCGACACCCACUAGAUGGAGCGGGGCCUUUGCAGCUGUCCUUGCACAUGCAAAUAAAGUGCAUUUGUAUAAUUUGGUGAUA